rnacentral:lncRNA from 1 species
GCCUUGUGUAGUUUUCAGAUUUCAUUGUCUUCCAUAGGAAAAUGCUGAAAGUUGAGGAGAUGCAAUUCACAGGGACUGUGACCAUGGCUGUGACCAUAAUCUGGGGCUGUGAAGGUUACACCACCUGUGGUCAGCUUAGUUGCACCAAGAUAAGGGAGCAGUGACAGGCAGCAGUAUAACCAUCAGGUUCCUGGUCUGCUAAGGUACCACGCUGCUGAUAGCUUUGCCCUGCAGGUUCUGCAGCCUACCCAGCGUGACUUCGAGGCUGCAACUCCAGGAAGUUCCAAGAAGUGAGGUCUGUCAGAUGUAUGCUUCUCCAGCAUCCCCUUCCAGCACCACUGUGCCCCACCUGCACAUGAACACUGUGCUUCCCAGGGGCUGCUGCCACCCCACAGACAUUCUCAUGGCAUCAGGAGCUCACAGCCACGUGCGGAGGCUCCCCAAGGCUGUGCUCAGUCUCAGAGUCACAAAUAAGAUGCUGAAGGGCCCUGAGGAGUUGCAGUAUUUCCCUGCCAGCCUUGGCUCGCCCUGCACCACCACCUUUGCUCUGCUGUCAGCUGCAGGCCCUGCUCCUCAGGCUGGCCCACCAGUAUGGGGGAGCCCUCCAGGGACAGAAGGAGGCCUUCAGGAAAGAGGAGAACCACUUCUGCGUUGCAUUGAGAGUCCUUGCAGUGGGACUGCGCUGCCCUCACCGCUGGUACAGCUCCAUGAUCCCCGCCCGGUGCAAACUCCUCCACAGCUCUGCUUCCAGCAGCAUGUCGUGGUUGGCGUAGAACACCAGUGGCUUCUUCUCUGGCUCGUAGUAAUGGUCGGAGAACUGCUCAUAGUUGGCUGUGAUGAACCCGUAGGCACUGACCUAUGGGGUGAUGGGACAGGGGAGGAAGGAUGGUGAUGGGCUCAGGGUGGGAGAUCCCCCCCCAGGCACCAGGCCUCACCUGGUCGCAGGUGUGCAGUGCUGUCAGCAGCAUGAGUGCCCCAGUGCUGGGCAUGUAGAGGUGGCCGUACUGCAUGUCCAGGAGCUCUG